AAAAAAUCUCAGUUUUUUCCCAAACGAAUUUCUUUUAGCAACGAUCAAAGUUCUUUUUAAUUUUCUAAACGUUUAAUUUUUAAAAAAUUCAAAUAAUAACAAACUGCUAAAAAGUUAAGCGAUUGGACGCAAUUUGAGCCAAUUUAACGAUCGAUAUUUAGGAGAGCUUUAAUAAGAAAUUCUUGUUGGAGAUCUGUUAAAUUUAAAUUCGAACCAAAAAUUCAAAAAAAUCCAAAAAAUUAUUUCGGAAUAUUUUCAUUCGAACAACAGUCAUCUUCGCAUCUUUAAUAUUAUCGUCGUUGUCGUCAAACAGGCGUUUUAUAUAUUUAAUAAUUAAAAUUAAUAUAUAAAACAACAGCAACAACAACUUUAAAAAAUUUCCUCAAAAUCUAAAUCGAAAACAUUUCAAG